AGAGGUAACAAUGUUGAUAUGAGUAAUGAGAAGCAUUUCUCCUUGCACGUGUGUAUAUCAGACCGAAUAAAUCACUGAUAUUUAACAAUAUAAAUAUAUGUAUAUACUAAAAUUUUAUUUAUUAAUUGUAGCCCAACACAGGAAUGCGGCUUAGGAAGAUUAAAAGAAGUAAAAGGAACUCGGC
rnacentral:rRNA from 1 species